UGUGUCUUGGCUAAUGUGUCUUGGCUAAGGUGUCUUGGCUAAUGUGUCUUGGCUAAGGUGUCUUGGCUAAGGUGUCUUGGCUAUGGUGUCUUGGCUAAGGUGUCUUGGCUAAGGUGUCUUGGCUAAGGUGUCUUGGCUAAUGUGUCUUGGCUAAGGUGUCUUGGCUAAGGUGUCUUCGCUAAUGUGUCUUGGCUAAGGUGUCUUGGCUAAGGUGUCUUGGCUAAUGUGUCUUGGCUAAUGUGUCUUGGCUAAUGUGUCUUGGCUAAUGUGUCUUGGCUAAUGUGUCUUGGCUAAUGUGUCUUGGCUAAUGUGUCUUGGCUAAGGUGUCUUGGCUAAUGUGUCUUGGCUAACGUGUCUUGGCUAAGGUGUCUUGGCUAAUGUGUCUUGGCUAAUGUGUCUUGACUAAGGUGUCUUGGCUAAUGUGUCUUGGCUAAUGUGUC